UCCUCCGAAGGCUUCAUUCCAAUGGAGAUAAUAUUUCUCACUUAUAAACCCAUUAUCUUCCACUAAAUCAACGAACGUGAGACUCACUCCUAAUAAUCCUCAACACCACGCUGGGUAAACCCUUGGUAAAAGAGUGCUUUCUUCUCACGAUCUCCUUAUCAGAUCAGCUUCCCCUUCUUCUUUCACUACUUGAGCGUUGUUAUUUCUGUAAGUUCGUUCUCCAUUUUUGAAGUUCUUAGCUUCUUCCAAUUGCCAAUUUGUGAAUGAUUUUCUUUGGGGUUACCUACUUGUAUUAUGGAUCAUGAAACACUGCCCGGAAAUUUCCGUUCCAUCAAAAUUGGGCUCUGAUUACGCGGGCUAGUUAGGGUUCGAGAUGAAUUAUUGAGAGAAGUAUUCAACGGCCGCAUUGCGGUGGUCGUUUUCAAAUUCCAUACUUUCUUGCGUUGCGGAUAUUGGACAUUGCGUAAUGCCCACCAACUGUUCGAUGAAAUUCCUCUAUGAAAUGCUCAAGGAUCAACUGUUUCGUUGGAUCAUUAUGGAUUUGUUUCGAUAACAUGGCCUUCUCGAGGAUCAACUGUUUCAUUGGAUCAUUAUGGAUUCGUUUCGAUAACAUAACCUUAUCAUCAAUGUUGGUGGUGGCAGCCUUCGUAGGAGCACCGACUUCAUCGACACCAUUUGAACCAGAAGAAGGCUGC